rnacentral:rRNA from 1 species
GACGAACGCUGGCGGCGUGCUUAACACAUGCAAGUCGAACGAGUGGCGAACGGGUGAGUAACACGUGAGUAACCUGCCCCUUCUUUGGGAUAACGCCCGGAAACGGGUGCUAAUACUGGAGAGUGGGGGAUGGGCUCGCGGCCUAUCAGCUUGUUGGUGGGGUGAUGGCCUACCAAGGCUUUGACGGGUAGCCGGCCUGAGAGGGUGCCCAGCCACACUGGAACUGAGACACGGGCCAGACUCCUACGGGAGGCAGCAGUGGGGAAUAUUGCACAAUGGGCGCAAGCCUGAUGCAGCCAUGCCGCGUGUAUGAAGAAGGCCUUCGGGUUGUAAAGUACUUUCAGCGGGGAGGCGUUACCCGCAGAAGAAGCACCGGCUAACUCCGUGCCAGCAGCCGCGGUAAUAC